UACGAAGGGGCUAGCGUUGCUCGGAAUUACUGGGCGUAAAGGGAGCGUAGGCGGACAUUUAAGUCAGGGGUGAAAUCCCAGAGCUCAACUCUGGAACUGCCUUUGAUACUGGGUGUCUUGAGUGUGAGAGAGGUAUGUGGAACUCCGAGUGUAGAGGUGAAAUUCGUAGAUAUUCGGAAGAACACCAGUGGCGAAGGCGACAUACUGGCUCAUUACUGACGCUGAGGCUCGAAAGCGUGGGGAGCAAACAGG
rnacentral:rRNA from 1 species